AAUUGAACUUCCGUCCUUUAAAUGACGUCACGCACUCAAAGUCAAAUUCGCAUCAAAACAAGCAAAUAUGCCAUGUUUGAACGCAAAGUUCGAUGCGUUCCCAUCGACUAAAUUCAGUGGGCGAUAGCUCAAAAUGAUCAGUAAAAUACAGAGAAAACGUUUGUAUCGAAAAACGAAAUAUGAAAAUUUCACUUCAGUAGAACUUUAAGCAAAUACUGGACAGAAAUAUUUCAUGGGAAGAAAUGGAAUCUAUUGAACUGAGGAUAGAUAAUGCAAAAGAGGUAAUCAGAACUAAAACAAUAUUCAAAGAACACAGUCGUACCUCAGCAUUAUGGCUAAACUAUACGUGAAUAGAUUGUAUUCUUUGGACAUUUAUCACAGCAGAAUGCUACGGCAAGAAGCAUCUGCACUUACACGUAAUCAGCAAGAUGCCCAACAGUGACAAUGAGCUUUGAACUUUGACAUGCGGCUUAUUAUCUUUGUACUUUAUAUAUUUACAACUGUUAAUGAAUUAAUUGAAAUGUAGUUUUGGAUAAGAAUAAAACUAAAUUUCGAAACCAAAUACUUAAUAAAAUUAUUCAGGUAGAUUACGCGUAUCUUCCUCAAGUUUCUUUUUUUUUAAAGAUGUCUGACUAGAUUAUUUCUUUAAAAAUUUAACUAAACGUUGUUGGAAAUGAUAUUAGAUUGAAUCCAAACCCUUUUUAUAAACAAAUUUAUCCAAAUUUAUUGGUGAGACGUGGCAAUAUUAGCAAUAAAGAGACAUUUCGAUGAAAA